GGAGCCCCCACUUCACUCUGGGUAAGUCUCCAGUACUUUUUUUUAAAAAAGAUUGAUUUACUUUUUUAUUUACUUAGGUUUACUUAUUUAUUUUGAGAGAGACAGCAUGAGGGGCAGAGAAAGAGGGAGAGAGAGAAUCCCAAGCAGGCUCCACGCUGUCAGCACGGAGCCGGACGCGGGGCUCGAACUCACAAAACCGCGAGAUCGUGACCUGAGCCAAACCAAGAGUCAGCCGCUUAACUGACCGAGCCGCCCAGGCGUCCAAAAGAUUUUUUUUUUUCCUUAAGUAACCUCUACACCCCAUGUGGGACUCAAACUCACAACUCUGCGAUUAAGAGUCGCUGCACCGACUAAGCCGGCCAGAUGCCUCUGUCCCUAGUACAGAAAGGACACUGUAGAGUGUAGAGACCACAGAUGUGGAAACUGAGGCCCAGAGAGAAGGGGCUCACUUCUGUUGACUAUCACCCCCCAGCACACCCCCAUGAUUUUUGCCCCCUGGGUAAGGACGUGGGCCUUACUCUCUCACUUACCGGUAGACCAACAUCUGUUGCCCUAGCUAGCAGGAAUGAUGUUGCCCCGACUUGCUGUGUGACCUCGGGCAAAGCACUCCACGCUGGGCUUCUUAGGAGGCGAGAGAGGGGUCUGGUCGAGAGGGUCGGUUGAAUUGCACUUUGCCUGCAAUUCCUGAGACGGUCACCAGGGGGCUCCAAACAGCCAGGCUCCUGCCAUCCCUGUGUCCCCGCCUCCCGGUAGGCACCGGGGCCAGCGGGAAGAAGGAGAUGGCUACAUGCGUCACCCGCCAAGUCGAGGAUGUUAGGGAAAGGGAAGAAGGAAAACUGGCCAGACAGCUGGUGUUUCACCUUUCCACGGGCCUGGAUUGAAAUUGUUCUGUUCCCUCCGUGCUGCUGUUGCAAGUUCCGGGCUCCUGGGGGCGUGCGGUGACGUCCGGCCUGACCAGCUGAUGCCUGCUGCCCCAGACACACCUGAUCACACCCAGGGGGAGGCCCAGUCCCUGACGCCCACCUGGGAUGUUGCUACGCCAGCCCAGGCAGCAGGGAGGAGCCUGUGUGACCCCGAGGCCGUGGCUCCCCCCUGGGGGCCUCCAGUGUGCAGUCUGCAGCGGGACCCCCGGUGCCAUCUUGGAAGGCUCCCGUGUGCAGCCAGACGGUAUGAUCCGAAGAGACGCACGGAGGGGAGGGGCGAGGCGCGCGAGGACGUCAUCCCUUCACCUUGGACGUUCUCUGCGCCACACCUUUGCCCAAGCUGUGCCCCCUGCCUGAAGCACCUUUCGUGCUCCUCUCGGCCACUCCAGCUCACCUGAGAUUGCAGCCCCCUCCGGGACGUCUUCUCGGAUUCCCUUCUCACCAGUCAGUGAGCACUGUGUCCUCCUUGGGGCCCACCCCAAGCCCCCUGUACUGCGAACAGCCUUUGUGUGGGGGCCCGAGGGUGCAGCCAGUUACUGGUGGAAUCUCAAAUGGCUACAGGUGGAGACUGGGGGGACCCCAGGCCUCUCACCCCCGCAAUGGUGCCCACUCCCUCGGCGGUGUCCUCCUUCCCCUGAAUCCCACUGCCUUGUCCCUUACACGGGGUCCCCCCGUUGGGUCUGAAGGGGUCUGGUUGAAUGGGUGGGGUUGGGGGGUGCUGGGCCGCGUAGAGCCGUGAGGCACAGGCGGUGAUCACGGGGGCAUUCCAGGCGACGUGAUGUGGGAACUCUGGGGACAGGACCCUCUGCGUAGAAGGCUGGGCCCCAGCUGGACAGGAAGGGAGG
rnacentral:lncRNA from 1 species